rnacentral:rRNA from 1 species
UACGUAGGGUCCAAGCGUUGUCCGGAAUUAUUGGGCGUAAAGAGCUCGUAGGCGGUCUGUCGCGUCGGCUGUGAAAACCCGGGGCUCAACCCCGGGCCUGCAGUCGAUACGGGCAGACUAGAGUGCGGUAGGGGAGACUGGAAUUCCUGGUGUAGCGGUGAAAUGCGCAGAUAUCAGGAGGAACACCGGUGGCGAAGGCGGGGUCUCUGGGCCGUAACUGACGCUGAGGAGCGAAAAGCGUGGGGAGCGAACAGG